UCGAGCGAUCCCUUCGGGGAUAGCGGCGGACGGGUGAGUAACGCGUGGGAACGUACCCUCUUCUGCGGGAUAGCCUCUGGAAACGGAGAGUAAUACCGCAUACGCCCUUUUGGGGAAAGAUUUAUCGGAGGAGGAUCGGCCCGCGUUAGAUUAGGUAGUUGGUGGGGUAAUGGCCUACCAAGCCUACGAUCUAUAGCUGGUUUUAGAGGAUGAUCAGCCACACUGGGACUGAGACACGGCCCAGACUCCUACGGGAGGCAGCAGUGGGGAAUCUUAGACAAUGGGGGCAACCCUGAUCUAGCCAUGCCGCGUGAGUGACGAAGGUCUUAGGAUCGUAAAGCUCUUUCGCCUGUGAUGAUAAUGACAGUAGCAGGUAAAGAAACCCCGGCUAACUCCGUGCCAGCAGCCGCGGUAAUACGGAGGGGGUUAGCGUUGUUCGGAAUUACUGGGCGUAAAGCGCACGUAGGCGGACCAUCAAGUUGGGGGUGAAAUCCCGGGGCUCAACCCCGGAACUGCCUCCAAAACUGGUGGUCUGGAGUUCGAGAGAGGUGAGUGGAAUUGCGAGUGUAGAGGUGAAAUUCGUAGAUAUUCGCAGGAACAUCAGUGGCGAAGGCGGCUCACUGGCUCGAUACUGACGCUGAGGUGCGAAAGUGUGGGGAGCAAACAGGAUUAGAUACCCUGGUAGUCCACACCGUAAACGAUGAAUGCCAGUCGUCGGGUAGC
rnacentral:rRNA from 5 species